AACAAACAAAAACCCUCGCAAACAAAACGCCAAAAACACUUGAACCUUACCUCUCUCCCACUAAAAAAACAUUGACCCCUCCACGACCCUCUCUUUUUCAGAAAACAACAAAACUUCUUGGCUGGUGGUGUAGAGAAGCAGGGAACUCCUCAGCCAUGGCAGUCGCCAUGCUAACAACACCAACAAGGCAACAACCUUCAGCUUUCUAUUUUCAACCGAGAGCAUUCUUGGAGGAUUUUCCAACAGCCUUUAAUGUCGUCAACAGCAGUAACCCUGGACAACAACCUUUUCUUCUCAGUCCAGCACUGUGAUCUCAGUCCAGCAGUGUCUCAGAACAGCUUCUCCUUCUCCACCAUCUUCAUCUUCUCUUGCUCAAGCAGCAUCAGCAGUAACUCUUCCUCCACAACACCAUGAGCAGUAGCUUUCAAUCCAGCACCACCAGCAAUAACAACGUCCAGCAAGAUACUUCCAGCUCAACAGACCCAAGGUUCCAGCAGAGCAAUAACACCAGCAGGAUUUCAGCGUUUCAUCUUCCUCUUAGUCCAGUAGCCCAUCUCUCCAGAUCCAGCAGUGCAGUCGUGAGCCUCUAACAACAUCUUCAGCACAGUAUCUGGAUUACAAGUAUCCCCACUGUGCUAAUGUUCAAGAAUGGAGAGAAGAAAGGAGGUGUUACAGGUGCAGUUCCAAAGGCUACCUUCGCUGCUGCCAUUGAAAAAUACAUUGAAGCUUGAAGAGAGAAGAGCAGCAACACAUGUCCUUUAGAAAUCUUUAGUUACAAUUGCCAUUGCCUUGUAUGCCAUGACAAUGUUAUCCCGAGUUUUUAUAUCAUGAGGUGUAGUUUGAUAAUUA